rnacentral:rRNA from 1 species
GCCAGUACAGGAUGGACCCGCGUCUGAUUAGCUAGUUGGUAAGGUAACGGCUUACCAAGGCGACGAUCAGUAGCCGACCUGAGAGGGUGAUCGGCCACAUUGGAACUGAGACACGGUCCAAACUCCUACGGGAGGCAGCAGUGGGGAAUAUUGCACAAUGGGCGAAAGCCUGAUGCAGCAACGCCGCGUGAGUGAUGAAGGCCUUCGGGUCGUAAAACUCUGUCCUCAAGGAAGAUAAUGACGGUACUUGAGGAGGAAGCCCCGGCUAA